UUCAUAUAGUCAUAGUGAGUUCAAUUCAUUCCUGGACCAUGUCAUGCAUGUGUAUACUCCAAAAUGGUGUAUUCAGUACUAGUAUGGGUAUGUAAUAAUGGUUACAUAUAUGAUUAGUUUCAUGAUAAUACAAGUUUGAUUGCUAAAUUAUUUAUUUUUCUAUUGAAUAAAAUAAACUAUUAUUUCACUUACUUUAAACUAGGCC
rnacentral:lncRNA from 1 species